CCUUUGAUAGCUCAGCUGGUAGAGCGGAGGACUGUAGGCUCUCUUGCACGGCCAUCCUUAGGUCGCUGGUUCAACUCCGGCUCGAAGGA
rnacentral:tRNA from 1 species